rnacentral:rRNA from 1 species
GACGAACGCUGGCGGCGGGCUUAACACAUGCAAGUCGAACGGAAAGGCCCUGCUUUUGUGGGGUGCUCGAGUGGCGAACGGGUGAGUAACACGUGAGUAACCUGCCCUUGACUUUGGGAUAACUUCAGGAAACUGGGGCUAAUACCAGAUAGGAGCUCCUGCUGCAUGGUGGGGGUUGGAAAGUUUCGGCGGUUGGGGAUGGACUCGCGGCUUAUCAGCUUGUUGGUGGGGUAGUGGCUUACCAAGGCUUUGACGGGUAGCCGGCCUGAGAGGGUGACCGGCCACAUUGGGACUGAGAUACGGCCCAGACUCCUACGGGAGGCAGCAGUGGGGAAUAUUGCACAAUGGGCGGAAGCCUGAUGCAGCAACGCCGCGUGCGGGAUGACGGCCUUCGGGUUGUAAACCGCUUUCGCCUGUGACGAAGCGUGAGUGACGGUAAUGGGUAAAGAAGCACCGGCUAACUACGUG